UUUCCUAUAAUUAAAAAUUGGUCAUUACAAAAUAUGAUGAAAAAAUUGAUUCUAGUAAUUGCCACAACUUUGACCGUGUUGAAAAUUAAUGAAAUAAUGAAUUCCUGUUUGUUUAUAUUUUAUCUACUUAAUUGCUUCUUUUUUUUUGAUACGUAGGGAAUGUGUUUGAGCCAAUGAUUGCGACGAAAAUGUCAAAAACAUUGUUCAAGAAAUCAAAAUUGAGGAACUAUUCUGCUGUUUUCCGGUGGUUUGGAUAAGAGUAAUGAAAAGAUUUUUAGACCGAUUUUUGGAAAGGUGAAUUUCAGUAAUUUAGACCAAGUAAUUUUGUUUUUCAAAAUUCUUAAUAUGAAUGGUAAUUCAAUAUAUAUUUAUGAUUAAGUAUUGGUUCUAUAUAUUGCUUGGUUUCUCUUGUUAAAUGAAAUUAUAUACAGAGGCGGAACUAGGGGGGACGGGGGGUCAUCUGCCUCCGGUAGCGACGGCGGUCCAGGCAUAACUAGGGGCUGGGGCUGGGGCUGGGAUUGGGGCGUGGGCGGGCGGCGGGCGGCGGGCGGCGGGGGCGGUGGGGGGGGGGGGGCGCCAGCCAACCACUGCUUCGGGCAUCACGGCAAUUUUCAAACAGUUUUCUUGCUUUAGCCAUUUGCUCUGCUAAUCAAUCUUCCAAGUCAGAAUCUUCAAGUUCAUCCUCAGAAUCUUCAAGUAGCGAGGAUGAAGGGAGAGAAUCAAGAAGAUCAAAAUCAAGGUCUAAGAGAAGGAAGAAAGAAAAAAAGCACAGAUCAAGAUCCAAGCACUCUAGCAGCGGGGAAGAGACUGACGGUCCUUUGCCACUUUUCAGAUUCUUUGGGAGUACAAAAAGCUGAUGUUUUCAAGGGGGGGUUUUUAUGUCCUCCAUCUAGUAUCUAACUAGAUUGUUUCUUGAUCUACUGUGAUGCUGGUUUUCGCAGUAUAUAUUGCUAGAUUGAUAUAAGGAUGGAAUAUUGUACGAAUGUUAUAUGUUUAUAUGUUUAGAUUUCAUGAAAUUAGAAUUUUUAAAGCUUGCAUACCAUGUGUUUGUAUAAAUGACAUAAAGAGGUUAAUUUGGUUAAAACAUGAAAAUUAACGGGUUCUCUCUGUAAAUUGAUGUACAUAUAUGAGUUAUAAGUUAGCCAUCUAUUCCUUUCGCUUCAAUUCCUUCAACUUCAUCUCGUCAACUUAGUUUUUCUUUGGAAGAGGAAUUUUUUUCGAUUUUACCAUCUCAAAUAUUGCCUCUCUAUCUUUCACAACACUUUCAUUUACAGUACUUUU
rnacentral:lncRNA from 1 species